rnacentral:rRNA from 1 species
GUCCGCACUGUAAACGAUGAUUACUCGCUGCUAGGGGGCAACUCUUAGUGGCUUAGCGAAAGCGAUAAGUAAUCCACCUGGGGAGUACGCCGGCAACGGUGAAACUCAAAGGAAUUGACGGGGGGCCCCGCACAAGCGGAGGAGCAUGUGGUUUAAUUCGAUGAUACGCGAGGAACCUUACCAGGGCUUGAAAGUUAGUGACCGUCUCUGAAAGGAGACUUUCCGCAAGGACACGAAACUAGGUGCUGCAUGGCUGUCGU